rnacentral:rRNA from 1 species
UACAGAGGGGGCAAGCGUUGUUCGGAAUUACUGGGCGUAAAGGGCGCGUAGGCGGCAUGGCAAGUCAGGAGUGAAAGGCCUGGGCUCAACCGAGGAACUGCUUUUGAUACUGCCAAGCUAGAGUGCGGAAGGGGCAACUGGAAUUCCCAGUGUAGCGGUGAAAUGCGUAGAUAUUGGGAAGAACACCAGAGGCGAAGGCGGGUUGCUGGGCCGACACUGACGCUGAGGCGCGAAAGCCAGGGGAGCAAACGGG